AGCGUACACGGUGGAUGCCCUGGCAGUCAGAGGCGAUGAAGGACGUGCUAAUCUGCGAAAAGCGUCGGUAAGGUGAUAUGAACCGUUAUAACCGGCGAUGUCCGAAUGGGGAAACCCAGUGUGAUUCGUCACACUAUCGUUAACUGAAUACAUAGGUUAACGAGGCGAACCGGGGGAACUGAAACAUCUAAGUACCCCGAGGAAAAGAAAUCAACCGAGAUUCCCCCAGUAGCGGCGAGCGAACGGGGAGCAGCCCAGAGUCUGAAUCAGCUUGUGUGUUAGUGGAACGGUCUGGAAAGUCCGACGGUACAGGGUGAUAGUCCCGUACACCAAAAUGCACAGGCUGUGAACUCGAAGAGUAGGGCGGGACACGUGGUAUCCUGUCUGAAUAUGGGGGGACCAUCCUCCAAGGCUAAAUACUCCUGACUGACCGAUAGUGAACCAGUACCGUGAGGGAAAGGCGAAAAGAACCCCGGCGAGGGGAGUGAAAAAGAACCUGAAACCGUGUACGUACAAGCAGUGGGAGCACCUUCGGGUGUGACUGCGUACCUUUUGUAUAAUGGGUCAGCGACUUAUAUUCUGUAGCAAGGUUAACCGUAUAGGGGAGCCGCAGGGAAACCGAGUCUUAACUGGGCGUUAAGUUGCAGGGUAUAGACCCGAAACCCGGUGAUCUAGCCAUGGGCAGGUUGAAGGUUGGGUAACACUAACUGGAGGACCGAACCGACUAAUGUUGAAAAAUUAGCGGAUGACUUGUGGCUGGGGGUGAAAGGCCAAUCAAACCGGGAGAUAGCUGGUUCUCCCCGAAAGCUAUUUAGGUAGCGCCUCGUGAACUCAUCUUCGGGGGUAGAGCACUGUUUCGGCUAGGGGGUCAUCCCGACUUACCAACCCGAUGCAAACUACGAAUACCGAAGAAUGUUAUCACGGGAGACACACGGCGGGUGCUAACGUCCGUCGUGAAGAGGGAAACAACCCAGACCGCCAGCUAAGGUCCCAAAGUCAUGGUUAAGUGGGAAACGAUGUGGGAAGGCACAGACAGCCAGGAUGUUGGCUUAGAAGCAGCCAUCAUUUAAAGAAAGCGUAAUAGCUCACUGGUCGAGUCGGCCUGCGCGGAAGAUGUAACGGGGCUAAACCAUGCACCGAAGCUGCGGCAGCGACACUAUGUGUUGUUGGGUAGGGGAGCGUUCUGUAAGCCUGCGAAGGUGUGCUGUGAGGCAUGCUGGAGGUAUCAGAAGUGCGAAUGCUGACAUAAGUAACGAUAAAGCGGGUGAAAAGCCCGCUCGCCGGAAGACCAAGGGUUCCUGUCCAACGUUAAUCGGGGCAGGGUGAGUCGACCCCUAAGGCGAGGCCGAAAGGCGUAGUCGAUGGGAAACAGGUUAAUAUUCCUGUACUUGGUGUUACUGCGAAGGGGGGACGGAGAAGGCUAUGUUAGCCGGGCGACGGUUGUCCCGGUUUAAGCAUGUAGGCUGAUUGUCCAGGCAAAUCCGGAUAAUCAAGGCUGAGGUGUGAUGACGAGGCACUACGGUGCUGAAGUAACAAAUGCCCUGCUUCCAGGAAAAGCCUCUAAGCAUCAGGUAACAUUAAAUCGUACCCCAAACCGACACAGGUGGUCAGGUAGAGAAUACCAAGGCGCUUGAGAGAACUCGGGUGAAGGAACUAGGCAAAAUGGUGCCGUAACUUCGGGAGAAGGCACGCUGGUGUGUAGGUGAAGUCCCUGCGGAUGGAGCUGAGACCAGUCGAAGAUACCAGCUGGCUGCAACUGUUUAUUAAAAACACAGCACUGUGCAAACACGAAAGUGGACGUAUACGGUGUGACGCCUGCCCGGUGCCGGAAGGUUAAUUGAUGGGGUUAUCCGUAAGGAGAAGCUCUUGAUCGAAGCCCCGGUAAACGGCGGCCGUAACUAUAACGGUCCUAAGGUAGCGAAAUUCCUUGUCGGGUAAGUUCCGACCUGCACGAAUGGCGUAAUGAUGGCCAGGCUGUCUCCACCCGAGACUCAGUGAAAUUGAACUCGCUGUGAAGAUGCAGUGUACCCGCGGCAAGACGGAAAGACCCCGUGAACCUUUACUAUAGCUUGACACUGAACAUUGAGCCUUGAUGUGUAGGAUAGGUGGGAGGCUUUGAAGCGUGGACGCCAGUCUGCGUGGAGCCAACCUUGAAAUACCACCCUUUAAUGUUUGAUGUUCUAACGUUGGCCCCUGACCGGGGUUGCGGACAGUGUCUGGUGGGUAGUUUGACUGGGGCGGUCUCCUCCCAAAGCGUAACGGAGGAGCACGAAGGUUAGCUAAUCCUGGUCGGACAUCAGGAGGUUAGUGCAAUGGCAUAAGCUAGCUUGACUGCGAGCGUGACGGCGCGAGCAGGUGCGAAAGCAGGUCAUAGUGAUCCGGUGGUUCUGAAUGGAAGGGCCAUCGCUCAACGGAUAAAAGGUACUCCGGGGAUAACAGGCUGAUACCGCCCAAGAGUUCAUAUCGACGGCGGUGUUUGGCACCUCGAUGUCGGCUCAUCACAUCCUGGGGCUGAAGUAGGUCCCAAGGGUAUGGCUGUUCGCCAUUUAAAGUGGUACGCGAGCUGGGUUUAGAACGUCGUGAGACAGUUCGGUCCCUAUCUGCCGUGGGCGCUGGAGAAUUGAGGGGGGCUGCUCCUAGUACGAGAGGACCGGAGUGGACGCAUCACUGGUGUUCGGGUUGUCAUGCCAAUGGCACUGCCCGGUAGCUAAAUGCGGAAGAGAUAAGUGCUGAAAGCAUCUAAGCACGAAACUUGCCCCGAGAUGAGUUCU
rnacentral:rRNA from 1 species